AAGGUUAAGCCUCACGGUUCAUUAGUACCGGUUAGCUCAACGCAUCGCUGCGCUUACACACCCGGCCUAUCAACGUCGUCGUCUUCAACGUUCCUUCAGGAGACUUAUAGUCUCAGGGAGAACUCAUCUCGGGGCAAGUUUCGUGCUUAGAUGCUUUCAGCACUUAUCUCUUCCGCAUUUAGCUACCGGGCAGUGCCAUUGGCAUGACAACCCGAACACCAGUGAUGCGUCCACUCCGGUCCUCUCGUACUAGGAGCAGCCCCCUCAGUUCUCCAGCGCCCACGGCAGAUAGGGACCGAACUGUCUCACGACGUUCUAAACCCAGCUCGCGUACCACUUUAAAUGGCGAACAGCCAUACCCUUGGGACCUACUUCAGCCCCAGGAUGUGAUGAGCCGACAUCGAGGUGCCAAACACCGCCGUCGAUAUGAACUCUUGGGCGGUAUCAGCCUGUUAUCCCCGGAGUACCUUUUAUCCGUUGAGCGAUGGCCCUUCCAUUCAGAACCACCGGAUCACUAUGACCUGCUUUCGCACCUGCUCGCGCCGUCACGCUCGCAGUCAAGCUGGCUUAUGCCAUUGCACUAACCUCCUGAUGUCCGACCAGGAUUAGCCAACCUUCGUGCUCCUCCGUUACUCUUUAGGAGGAGACCGCCCCAGUCAAACUACCCACCAGACACUGUCCGCAACCCGGAUCACGGGUCCACGUUAGAACAUCAAACAUUAAAGGGUGGUAUUUCAAGGUCGGCUCCAUGCAGACUGGCGUCCACACUUCAAAGCCUCCCACCUAUCCUACACAUCAAGGCUCAAUGUUCAGUGUCAAGCUAUAGUAAAGGUUCACGGGGUCUUUCCGUCUUGCCGCGGGUACACUGCAUCUUCACAGCGAGUUCAAUUUCACUGAGUCUCGGGUGGAGACAGCCUGGCCAUCAUUACGCCAUUCGUGCAGGUCGGAACUUACCCGACAAGGAAUUUCGCUACCUUAGGACCGUUAUAGUUACGGCCGCCGUUUACCGGGGCUUCGAUCAAGAGCUUCGCUUGCGCUGACCCCAUCAAUUAACCUUCCGGCACCGGGCAGGCGUCACACCGUAUACGUCCACUUUCGUGUUUGCACAGUGCUGUGUUUUUAAUAAACAGUUGCAGCCAGCUGGUAUCUUCGACUGAUUUCAGCUCCAUCCGCGAGGGACUUCACCUACAUAUCAGCGUGCCUUCUCCCGAAGUUACGGCACCAUUUUGCCUAGUUCCUUCACCCGAGUUCUCUCAAGCGCCUUGGUAUUCUCUACCUGACCACCUGUGUCGGUUUGGGGUACGAUUUGAUGUUACCUGAUGCUUAGAGGCUUUUCCUGGAAGCAGGGCAUUUGUUGCUUCAGCACCGUAGUGCCUCGUCAUCACGCCUCAGCCUUGAUUUUCCGGAUUUGCCUGGAAAACCAGCCUACACGCUUAAACCGGGACAACCGUCGCCCGGCUAACAUAGCCUUCUCCGUCCCCCCUUCGCAGUAACACCAAGUACAGGAAUAUUAACCUGUUUCCCAUCGACUACGCCUUUCGGCCUCGCCUUAGGGGUCGACUCACCCUGCCCCGAUUAACGUUGGACAGGAACCCUUGGUCUUCCGGCGAGCGGGCUUUUCACCCGCUUUAUCGUUACUUAUGUCAGCAUUCGCACUUCUGAUACCUCCAGCAUACCUCACAGUACACCUUCACAGGCUUACAGAACGCUCCCCUACCCAACAACACACAGUGUCGCUGCCGCAGCUUCGGUGCAUGGUUUAGCCCCGUUACAUCUUCCGCGCAGGCCGACUCGACCAGUGAGCUAUUACGCUUUCUUUAAAUGAUGGCUGCUUCUAAGCCAACAUCCUGGCUGUCUGGGCCUUCCCACAUCGUUUCCCACUUAACCAUGACUUUGGGACCUUAGCUGGCGGUCUGGGUUGUUUCCCUCUUCACGACGGACGUUAGCACCCGCCGUGUGUCUCCCGUGAUAACAUUCUCCGGUAUUCGCAGUUUGCAUCGGGUUGGUAAGUCGGGAUGACCCCCUUGCCGAAACAGUGCUCUACCCCCGGAGAUGAAUUCACGAGGCGCUACCUAAUAGCUUUCGGGAGACCAGCUAUCUCCCGGUUUGAUUGGCCUUUCACCCCCAGCCACAAGUCAUCCGCUAAUUUUUCAACAUUAGUCGGUUCGGUCCUCCAGUUAGUGUUACCCAACCUUCAACCUGCCCAUGGCUAGAUCACCGGGUUUCGGGUCUAUACCCUGCAACUUAACGCCCAGUUAAGACUCGGUUUCCCUUCGGCUCCCCUAUUCGGUUAACCUUGCUACAGAAUAUAAGUCGCUGACCCAUUAUACAAAAGGUACGCAGUCACCCCAUAAAAGAGGCUCCCACUGCUUGUACGUACACGGUUUCAGGUUCUUUUUCACUCCCCUCGCCGGGGUUCUUUUCGCCUUUCCCUCACGGUACUGGUUCACUAUCGGUCAGUCAGGAGUAUUUAGCCUUGGAGGAUGGUCCCCCCAUAUUCAGACAGGAUACCACGUGUCCCGCCCUACUCAUCGAGCUCACAGCAUGUGCAUUUUUGUGUACGGGGCUGUCACCCUGUAUCGCGCGCCUUUCCAGACGCUUCCACUAACACACACACUGAUUCAGGCUCUGGGCUGCUCCCCGUUCGCUCGCCGCUACUGGGGGAAUCUCGGUUGAUUUCUUUUCCUCGGGGUACUUAGAUGUUUCAGUUCCCCCCGGUUCGCCUCAUUAACCUAUGGAUUCAGUUAAUGAUAGUGUGUCGAAACACACUGGGUUUCCCCAUUCGGAAAUCGCCGGUUAUAACGGUUCAUAUCACCUUACCGACGCUUAUCGCAGAUUAGCACGUCCUUCAUCGCCUCUGACUGCCAGGGCAUCCACCGUGUACGCUUAGUCGCUUAA
rnacentral:rRNA from 1 species